UGGGGAAUAUUGCACAAUGGAGGGAACUCUGAUGCAGCGACGCCGCGUGAACGAAGAAGGCUUUCGCGUCGUAAAGUUCUUUUAUAUGGGAAGAUAAUGACGGUACCAUAAGAAGAAGCCCCGGCUAACUACGUGCCAGCAGCCGCGGUAAUACGUAGGGGGCUAGCGUUGUCCGGAAUCACUGGGCGUAAAGGGUUCGCAGGCGGAAAUGCAAGUCAGGUGUAAAAGGCAGUAGCUUAACUACUGUAAGCAUUUGAAACUGCAUAUCUUGAGAAGAGUAGAGGUAAGUGGAAUUUUUAGUGUAGCGGUGAAAUGCGUAGAUAUUAAAAAGAACACCGGUGGCGAAGGCGACUUACUGGGCUCAUUCUGACGCUGAGGAACGAAAGCGUGGGUAGCAAACAGG
rnacentral:rRNA from 1 species